UACGUAGGGAGCGAGCGUUGUCCGGAUUUACUGGGUGUAAAGGGUGCGUAGGCGGCUAAGCAAGUCAGAUGUGAAAUUUAUGGGCUUAACCCAUAACCUGCAUUUGAAACUGCGUAGCUUGAGUGAAGUAGAGGCAGGCGGAAUUCCCUGUGUAGCGGUGAAAUGCGUAGAGAUAGGGAGGAACACCAGUGGCGAAGGCGGCCUGCUGGGCUUUAACUGACGCUGAGGCACGAAAGCGUGGGUAGCAAACA
rnacentral:rRNA from 1 species